rnacentral:rRNA from 1 species
AGAGUUUGAUCCUGGCUCAGGAUGAACGCUGGCGGCGUGCUUAACACAUGCAAGUCGAACGAAGCACUCUAUUUGAUUUCCUUCGGGAUUGAUUAUUUUGUGACUGAGUGGCGGACGGGUGAGUAACGCGUGGGUAACCUGCCUUGUACAGGGGGAUAACAGUUGGAAACGGCUGCUAAUACCGCAUAAGCGCACAGUACCGCAUGGUAUAGUGUGAAAAACUCCGGUGGUAUAAGAUGGACCCGCGUUUGAUUAGCUAGUUGGUGGGGUAACGGCCUACCAAGGCGACGAUCAAUAGCCGACCUGAGAGGGUGACCGGCCACAUUGGGACUGAGACACGGCCCAAACUCCUACGGGAGGCAGCAGUGGGGAAUAUUGCACAAUGGGCGAAAGCCUGAUGCAGCGACGCCGCGUGAGCGAAGAAGUAUUUCGGUAUGUAAAGCUCUAUCAGCAGGGAAGAUAAUGACGGUACCUGACUAAGAAGCUCCGGCUAAAUACGUGCCAGCAGCCGCGGUAAUACGUAUGGUGCAAGCGUUAUCCGGAUUUACUGGGUGUAAAGGGAGCGCAGGCGGUGCGGCAAGUCUGAUGUGAAAGCCCGGGGCUCAACCCCGGUACUGCAUUGGAAACUGUCGUACUAGAGUGUCGGAGGGGUAAGCGGAAUUCCUAGUGUAGCGGUGAAAUGCGUAGAUAUUAGGAGGAACACUAGUGGCGAAGGCGGCUUACUGGACGAUAACUGACGCUGAGGCUCGAAAGCGUGGGGAGCAAACGGGAUUAGAUACCCUGGUAGUCCACGCCAUAAACGAUGAAUACUAGGUGUCGGGAGGCAUUGCCUUUCGGUGCCGUCGCAAACGCAGUAAGUAUUCCACCUGGGGAGUACGUUCGCAAGAAUGAAACUCAAAGGAAUUGACGGGGACCCGCACAAGCGGUGGAGCAUGUGGUUUAAUUCGAAGCAACGCGAAGAACCUUACCAAGUCUUGACAUCCUUCUGACCGGUACUUAAUCGUACCUUCUCUUCGGAGCAGGAGUGACAGGUGGUGCAUGGUUGUCGUCAGCUCGUGUCGUGAGAUGUUGGGUUAAGUCCCGCAACGAGCGCAACCCUUAUCUUUAGUAGCCAGCGGUUUGGCCGGGCACUCUAGAGAGACUGCCAGGGAUAACCUGGAGGAAGGCGGGGAUGACGUCGAAUCAUCAUGCCCCUUAUGACUUGGGCUACACACGUGCUACAAUGGCGUAAACAAAGGGAAGCAAAGCUGUGAAGCCGAGCAAAUCUCAAAAAUAACGUCUCAGUUCGGACUGUAGUCUGCAACCCGACUACACGAAGCUGGAAUCGCUAGUAAUCGCAGAUCAGAAUGCUGCGGUGAAUACGU